UAACGCGUGAGGAACCUGCCUUGAAGAGGGGGACAACAGUUGGAAACGACUGCUAAUACCGCAUGAAGCAUAGGGGUCGGCAUGAUCUUUAUGCCAAAGAUUUAUCGCUUCAAGAUGGCCUCGCGUCUGAUUAGCUAGUUGGCGGGGUAACGGCCCACCAAGGCGACGAUCAGUAGCCGGACUGAGAGGUUGAACGGCCACAUUGGGACUGAGAUACGGCCCAG
rnacentral:rRNA from 1 species